UACGUAGGGGGCAAGCGUUGUCCGGAUUUAUUGGGCGUAAAGAGCGUGUAGGCGGCUUGGUAGGUCCGCUGUGAGAACUCGAGGCUCAACCUCGAGAUGUCGGCGGAAACCACUUGGCUAGAGUCCGGAAGAGGAGAGUGGAAUUCCUGGUGUAGCGGUGAAAUGCGCAGAUAUCGGGAGGAACACCAAUUGCGAAGGCAGCUCGCUGGGACGUCACUGACGCUGAGACGCGAAAGCGUGGGGAGCAAACAGG
rnacentral:rRNA from 1 species